GAUGAACGCUAGCGGGAGGCUUAACACAUGCAAGUCGAGGGGCAGCAUAGGGUAGCAAUACUCUGAUGGCGACCGGCAAACGGGUGAGUAACGCGUAUGCAACCUACCCUGUACAGGGGGAUAACCCGGAGAAAUUCGGACUAAUAUCCCGUAAUAAUAUCCGGAGGCAUCUUUGGAUAUUUAAAGUUCCGACGGUACGGGAUGGGCAUGCGUAACAUUAACUGGUUGGUAAGGUAACGGCUUACCAAGGCUAUGAUGUUUAGGGGUCCUGAGAGGGUGGUCCCCCACACUGGUACUGAGACACGGACCAGACUCCUACGGGAGGCAGCAGUGGGGAAUAUUGGUCAAUGGGCGCAAGCCUGAACCAGCCAUCCCGCGUGCAGGAAGACGGCCCUAUGGGUUGUAAACUGCUUUUCCAGGGAGAGAAACUUACGCACGUGUUGCGUGACUGACGGUACCCUGGGAAUAAGCAUCGGCUAACUCCGUG
rnacentral:rRNA from 1 species